GAAAUGUAUUCCUUUUCAUUCCUAGGAGAGGUGGCCUUAAAUGCUCCUAUUCUAAGAUUCUUCUAGGUCCAGCUCACACUGCUUGCGGCUUAAUCAGUCCUUAAAGCCAGGUUUGAUGAAAAAGUGAAAAAGUAAGUAGAUAAGAAGUUAACACAAACACCAUGAAAACUGCUAGUAAGUGGUUGAUUUUCAGCCUGAUUUUAAAUAGACUUAAUCAAAGGGGCCAAAUUUUGCUUAAAGCUAUUUUGAAAUUAUAGACUCACCUGCAGUUUCCAAAGACUUAAAAUGUAGGCUUCUAGGGCUCAGAAUUGACAGAAGCGUUUAUAGUCAAUUUUUUUAAAGUAACACUUUCUUCCUCUUAAGGGUCCCUAACACAUGUGCAAGAAUGAUGGUAAAGGGAAACCAAUAAUAAAAGUGUUCUAAAUUACAGUAAUAGUCUCAUAGUUCUGCAAAUAGGUAUGCUGAAAACCGUGGAACUGUACACUUCGUAUGAGUGAACAUGUGGCAGCUGACCCACAUUUUAAAAAACCUAAACCACACCCUCCCCACCUGUUGCAGGAUAUCUGAUCACACUGUGAACCCCGAGAUUGUUUUAUUUACUGGGGGGGGGGGAAACCUGUUUUUUUAUUUCUGGUGUUAGCCUUAGCACACACCUAAAGGUAUGUUUUAUCCUUUCAAGCACAUAUAAUGGGCAUAGCUCUGAACUGACCCAACUCUGGUGCAGUGAGUAUUAUUCUACUUUUUUUUUCUUGUGGUGGUUUGAAUCCAAGACCUUUCUGCCUGAAUACUGUAAACAGGAUUAGAUAAAGGCAACCAUAGGUCAUGAGGCAGAGCAACUAGUUGGCAGGAAGUGAGCAUAAGAUUGUUAAGAAAAAAAACAUAGAUAGUAAGAGGUAAUCAGGAGGACAGAGAGAUGCACAGGAAGUAGAAAGGAGGAACAUUCCAUAUGAUGGAGGUUUAUUGAGAUAGAGUGAGGGGGCAUUGCUUCUGGGACAUCGGCUGAGGGGGAAGGCCAGCUGGGUGCUUUCUCUGCCUCUCUGAACUAGCAGGCUUUAACCCCAACAUCUGACUCCGAGUCUUCAUUGAGAAAAUGGAAUGAUUGAGAUUUUGUUAAAAAACAAAACACCUCCCCUGACCCCCAAUCAAUGCCAGAUUAGUGCAUCCAAAGUUAUCAGCUUUCUGGUUGCUGUUUAAUCUCUUCUAAUAUAUGUAAUGGGCAUAAAUAUGAAUUGACCAAACUCUGGUACCUUGAGUAUUAUUCUAAUUUUUUUCUUGUUAUGGUUUGAAUGAGAAUGAUACAUGUAGCUCCUGCUUAGUCAACAGGGAGUGUCACUAUUUGAAAGGAUUAGGAGGUGUGGCCUUGUUGGAGGAAAUGCGUCGCUCAGGGUGGACGUUGAGGUGUCAAAAGCUCAUGCCAGGCCCAGGCUCUCCUUCUGUCCUCCUACAGAUCAGGAUGCAGCUCUCAGCUACUUCUCCAGUGCCUGCCUACAUGCCAUUAUGUUCCUCACCAGGAUGAUAAUGGACUAAACCUCUGAAACUAUAAGCAUCUGCUGCUCUCAGCCUCGAAAGUUCCCUUUCCCAUCCUCUCUCCACUAUGGGAUUUCUGCUUCCAGCAGCGACUGAUGUGCUCAUCUGAGCUAAUACCAUCUGCGGAGAACAACUAGAAGACCAGGGCGGAAGGCAGGAACUAUGUUUGAAGAGUCUGUGAAGUUUCCAAGUCGGUGAGAACUUGAAAGGCCAAAUUGCAGAAAGAAGCCAUAUAGAGAUAUGCCCGUCAUAUGUCAUUUGACACUGCUUUGAUAGACUCCUGGACUCUCCAUCUGCAGCUCAGAGAAGACUGGAUGGUCUUACUGGGCUAAGAUGACAAACUGGAGUUCAAGGGUCAUUGAAGAGAACACACUACAAUUUUAGUGCAUGUAGUAAUAUGUUACAUUGUUUACCUUUAGAUCUUGAGAUCUGUUUUUAUCAGUAGUAUAUCAGUAAAGGUCCUGUAAAGAGAGAUUCAAGGGGCUAGCGAGGUAAGCUCAGUGGUUAAGCAUUCUUGCCAGAUGACCUAGCGUUUAACAUCAACCCAGCUCAUGCCUGUGUACUCCAGCUCCGGGAGCCUGACACCCUCUUCUGGCCUCCACUUGUACCCACAUUAAUGUGGCAUUCAUUCACACAAAACACACAAAGAAUAAUAAGAACAAAUCUCUUUAAAACAGAGAGAUUUUAUAUACAUUUGCUCACUGGGGCUUGUAUUUGAGGAUCCAGCCUCCAGACUUAAGUCAAGGUCAUUCCAAGGGAGAGACUAGGCCUACAAGAUGGGACAUUAUGUUAAGGGAGAAGUCACGUGGAAAGCACUAGAGUUUUCCAGCCAAGCUCCAAGCUGAAUGGAUUUAAAGGGCAGUUCCAGCCAACACAAGAAGUAUUUCUAUUGUCUGAUUUUCCUCUUGUCUAUUCUUGAAAAUUUGUAAGCCCUGUGGAGUUUUUGUUUGUUUUAAAAGUGGGGCAUUAUAUCUUAAAAACUACAGGAAUGAUGAUAUGUGGGUUUACCUCUGGUUGGUAAUUAGAAGUGUUUUGUUUUUUUUUUAAAAAAAAGAUUUAUGUGUUAUGUAUGUGGGUACAACAUCAAUUGGGGUGAAAAAUUGUUCCAUCAACUCAGAAAAUUAGAAGAAAUAACAAAUCAAUGUGUCAUGGUUUGAACAUGCUUGGCCCAGAGAGUGGCAUUAUUUGGAGGUAAGGCCCUGUUGAUGUAGGUAUGUCACUGAGGGCAUGAACUUUAAGACCCUUUUUCUAGCUGUCUGGGAACCAGUAUUCUGCUAACAGCCUUCAGGUGAAGAUGUAGAACUCUCAGCUCCUUCUGCACCAUGCCUGCUUGGAUGCUGCCAUGAUGAUAAUGGACUGAACCUCUGAAGCUGUAAGCCAGCCCCAAUUAAAGGUUGUCCUCAUGA